rnacentral:rRNA from 1 species
CGGUGUAGCGGUGAAAUGCGUAGAUAUCGGGAAGAACACCAGUGGCGAAGGCGCUCUGCUGGGCCAUCACUGACGCUCAUGGACGAAAGCCAGGGGAGCGAAAGGGAUUAGAUACCCCUGUAGUCCUGGCCGUAAACGAUGAACACUAGGUGUCGGGGGAAUCGACCCCCUCGGUGUCGUAGCCAACGCGUUAAGUGUUCCGCCUGGGGAGUACGCACGCAAGUGUGAAACUCAAAGGAAUUGACGGGGGCCCGCACAAGCGGUGGAGUAUGUGGUUUAAUUCGAUGCAACGCGAAGAACCUUACCAGGGUUUGACAUCCUGCGAAUCUCUUGGAAACAGGAGAGUGCCUUCGGGAACGCAGUGACAGGUGGUGCAUGGCUGUCGUCAGCUCGUGUCGUGAGAUGUUGGGUUAAGUCCCGCAACGAGCGCAACCCACGUCUUUAGUUGCCAGCAUUUAGUUGGGCACUCUAGAGAGACUGCCGGUGAUAAACCGGAGGAAGGUGUGGAUGACGUCAAGUCAUCAUGCCCCUUACAUCCUGGGCUACACACGUACUACAAUGCUACGGACAAAGGGCAGCAAGUUCGCGAGGACAAGCAAAUCCCAUAAACCGUGGCUCAGUUCAGAUCGUAGGCUGCAACUCGCCUACGUGAAGGCGGAAUCGCUAGUAAUCGCAGGUCAGCAUACUGCGGCGAAUACGUUCCCGGGCCUUGUACACACCGCCCGUCACACCAUGGAAGUUGGCCACGCCCGAAGCCGUUACUCCAACCCUUGUGGAGGAGGACGUCGAAGGUGGGGCUGAUGACUGGGGUGAAGUCGUAACAAGGUAACCGUAGG